rnacentral:tRNA from 1 species
UCCUCCGUGGCGCAAUUGGCUAGCGCGUCUGACUGUUAAAUGGGAUCUGUCUGUUCGAUAAUACCGUAACGGUGUUGUUGUUGUGUAUACGUCCAUUGCGAUCAGGAGGUUGACAGUUCAAGCCUGUCCGGGGGAG